rnacentral:rRNA from 1 species
UGGGGAAUAUUGGACAAUGGGCGAAAGCCUGAUCCAGCCAUGCCGCAUGAGUGAAGAAGGCCUUUGGGUUGUAAAGCUCUUUUAGUGAGGAAGAUAAUGACGGUACUCACAGAAGAAGUCCUGGCUAACUCCGUGCCAGCAGCCGCGGUAAUACGGAGAGGGCUAGCGUUAUUCGGAAUUAUUGGGCGUAAAGGGCGCGUAGGCGGAUUAGUAAGUUAAAAGUGAAAUCCCAAGGCUCAACCUUGGAAUUGCUUUUAAAACUGCUAAUCUAGAGAUUGAAAGAGGAUAGAGGAAUUCCUAGUGUAGAGGUGAAAUUCGUAAAUAUUAGGAGGAACACCAGUGGCGAAGGCGUCUAUCUGGUUCAAAUCUGACGCUGAGGCGCGAAGGCGUGGGGAGCAAACAGG